CACACUGGGGGUGGCAGGGUAGCCUAGUGGUUAGAGUGUAGAGGAGGUAGGACACACUGGGGGCGGCAGGGUAGCCUAGUGGUUAGAGUGUAGAGGAGGUAGGACACACUGGGGGCGGCAGGGUAGCCUAGUGGUUAGAGUGUAGGGGAGGUAGGACACACUCCCAGGUAAC